UACAGGGGGUGCAAACGUUGCUCGGAAUUAUUGGGCGUAAAGCGCGCGUAGGCGGUUGCUUAAGUCGGAUGUGAAAGCCCUUGGCUUAACCGAGGAAGUGCAUCCGAAACUGAGCAGCUUGAGUAUGACAGAGGGUCGCGGAAUUCCCGGUGUAGAGGUGAAAUUCGUAGAUAUCGGGAGGAACACCGGUGGCGAAGGCGGCGACCUGGGUCAAAACUGACGCUGAGGCGCGAAAGCGUGGGGAGCGAACAGG
rnacentral:rRNA from 1 species